rnacentral:rRNA from 1 species
AUUGACCGCUGGCGGAAGGCCGAACACAUGCAAGUCGAAAGAGUGGCGGACGGGGGAGUAAGGUCUGGGAAACCGACCGAAGGGGGGGGAUAUCUAAUAGCAAGGGUAGCUAAUACCGCAUACUAUGGGAUGUGCCCAGAUGGGAUUAGCUAGUAGGUGGGGUAACGGCUCACCUAGGCGACGAUCCCUAGCUGGGCUGAGGGGAUGACCAGCCACACUGGAACUGAGACACGGUCCAGACUCCUACGGGAGGCAGCAGUGGGGAAGAUUGCACAAUGGGCGCAAGCCUGAUGCAGCCAUGCCGCGUGUAUGAAGAAGGCCUUCGGGUUGUAAAGUACUUUCAGCGAGGAGGCGUUACUCGCAGAAGAAGCACCGGCUAACUCCGUGCCAGCAGCCGCGGUAAUAC